CCCCAUUCCUCUUUCUCCUCUUCCUCUUCCACCCAUGCCCGACCAGUCCCAUCCGCCGCCGCGCGCUCCCGAUCCGGAGGAGCAGCUCCUCCCACGCCCGAGCCCGCUGAACCCAGCCUAGCACCCGCGCCCACCGCCCCUGUGCAGGUCCGCCUCGUCGAAGAUCCACAUCGCGUCGCUGCCCGUUCAGGAUCCAACCUCAACGCCUCCUGGCUAGGCUUGAGGAACGCAUGCCGGGAGAGCCUCCGCCGCGCCGGUGGUAGCGGCGGCGAGGCCGACGCGCCAACGACCAUUGUUCAAGGGGCCAUGCAGGAUGUGCUUCCGCAUCACCCUCUCCUCCACUCCGACGGUGGCCUCGGACAGGGCAGGAAUUGGAUAACACGUCCACCACCUGAUCGAGCACAACCGCAACAGAGGAGGGCCACCUCUGCCUCGUCGUGCAGGAGAUGCUUCACUAGGGCUGAAGUCAUUGUCUGGUUCUUCUUCCUUCUAUGAUUCCAUUUUGAUUUUUUGCCGGUAGUUCAUGAUGUCGUUUCUCCACAAUCCUUACCGUGCUUGUGUAGAAGAACAGAUCCAAUUUUUCGAGAGAAACAUGCUUUGUUGAUCUGUUGCUGCUGCUCACGCAGGUGUCGGAGCAGGUGCUUCGUGACGGCUGGGUUUGUCUAUAGGUAUGUCCUUUUUGUGUUGAAUUUGAGCACAACUAGUCUGGUUUGUUUUAGC
rnacentral:rRNA from 1 species